GGGGCUGUGGCUCAGUGGCAGACCAUCAGCUUUGUGUGCAGAAGGUCCCAGGUUCAAUCCCUGGCAUUUCCA